AAUUCAUAUUUGUAGUGCGGUCCUGUUUUUACGACAGGUUAAUAGGGAAAAAGGUAGAAGCCUUUGCAGCCCCCGCUACUGUAAGGGAGUACGAAAUCUCAAAUGCCACUGACUUAGUUGGGAAGGCGAGAAAGUAGGAUGAUCCCCGAGCCAGGAGACCUGCCACGCUAUGUAUUUACUUA
rnacentral:ncRNA from 1 species